rnacentral:rRNA from 1 species
AACGAACGCUGGCGGCAGGCUUAACACAUGCAAGUCGAACGGUUGUAGCAAUACAGCAGUGGCGCACGGGUGAGUAACGCGUGGAUAUCUGCCUUUUGGUUCGGAAUAACUCCGGGAAACUGGAGCUAAUACCGGAUGGUUCCUACGGGAUAAAGAUUUAUCGCCAAAAGAUGAGUCCGCGUACGAUUAGCUAGUUGGCGGGGUAAUGGCCCACCAAGGCGACGAUCGUUAGCUGGUCUGAGAGGACGAUCAGCCACACUGGGACUGAGACACGGCCCAGACUCCUACGGGAGGCAGCAGUGGGGAAUAUUGGACAAUGGGGGCAACCCUGAUCCAGCCAUGCCGCGUGAGUGAUGAAGGCCUUCGGGUUGUAAAGCUCUUUUGGCGGGGACGAUGAUGACGGUACCCGCAGAAUAAGCCCCGGCUAACUUCGUGCCAGCCGCCGCGGUAA